UACGGGGGGAGCAAGCGUUGUUCGGAUUUACUGGGCGUAAAGGGCGCGUAGGCGGUCGUGACAAGUCACUUGUGAAAUCUCCGGGCUUAAACUCGGAACGGUCAAGUGAUACUGUCGGACUAGAGUACAGAAGGGGCAACUGGAAUUCUCGGUGUAGCGGUGAAAUGCGUAGAUAUCGAGAGGAACACCUGCGGCGAAGGCGGGUUGCUGGGCUGAUACUGACGCUGAGGCGCGGAAAGCCAGGGGAGCGAACGGG
rnacentral:rRNA from 1 species